CUCAGUUUGUAAGUUGGUUCCUACAGUGCAGGUCACUAACGGGGGGCUGCGCUAGACAGCCCUGAAAAGAGCUUUUUAAGAAGAAUUCAAGGGCCGCAGCACAAGCACUAAGUGCAGUGUAUGUCAUGUUGACAUUCUGUUCUGCGGCUCCAUCACCUCCCUCAGCGGCGCUGUAUACUCCCACGGCCUGGUUCCCAGGUACUUACAGCGGAGGUGCUCCGGUCAUCAGGCACACAUCACCGCUGCUGCUCUCCUGGAUCGCGUGGCCGCACUUCAGGGAGAAGUUUUGGACACAGAUUUUCACAUGCUGCCAUGGAUCAAGAAGAAGCUCUCAAUACAAGUUCUGAAGGUUCGUUAAGAUCUGUAGGAUGUUGAGAUUUUAAAGAAACUAUCAAAUUCAACAAUGCAACAAUUGAUCACAACUUUAUUGAUUUGGACAUUUUCAUCUAAAGGAGAAUCAAUUGUCUUCCACUCAUUGGCUUUCAAAUGGUGCAACUUAUCAAACUUCAUGCUUACAUCUUCAAUGGAUAACUG